AAUCACUUGUCUUUUAAAUGGAGACCUGUAUGAAUGGCAUAACGAGGGCUUAGCUGUCUCCUCUUUCAAGUCAAUGAAAUUGAUCUUCCCGUGCAGAAGCGGGAAUAACCUCAUAAGACGAGAAGACCCUAUGAAGCUUUAGACACCAAGACAGAUCAUGUUAAACACUCCUUAAUAAAGGACUAAACCAAAUGACCCCUGUCCUAAUGUCUUUGGUUGGGGCGACCGCGGGGAAACAAAAAACCCCCACGUGGAAUGGGAGCACCCCCUCCUAAAACUAAGAGCUCCUGCUCUAGUUAACAGAAUUUCUGACCAAUAAGAUCCGGCAAUGCCGAUCAACGAACCGAGUUACUCUAGGGAUAACAGCGCAAUCCCCUUUUAGAGCCCA
rnacentral:rRNA from 1 species